rnacentral:tRNA from 1 species
GCGGACGUAGCCCAAUCGGCAGAGGCAGUGGCUUCAAAUCCCACGUCAUGCACGUUCGAAUCGUGCCGUCCGCA